GACGAACGCUGGCGGCCGGCCUAACACAUGCAAGUCGAACGGAGUGGCGGACGGGUGAGUAAUGUCUGAGAAUCUGCCUGGUAGUGGGGGAUAACGUCAGGAAACGGGCGCUAAUACCGCAUACUAUCAGAUGAGCCUAGGUCGGAUUAGCUAGUUGGUGGGGUAAAGGCUUACCAAGGCGACGAUCCGGAACUGGUCUGAGAGGAUGAUCAGUCAAACUGGAACUGAGACACGGUCCAGACUCUGACGGGAGGCAGCAGGGGGGAAUAUUGGACAAUGGGCGAAAGCCUGAUGCAGCCAUGCCGCGUGUGUGAAGAAGGUCUUCGGAUUGUAAAGCACUUUAAGUUGGGAGGCGUUACCAACAGAAUAAGCACCGGCUAACUUCGUGCCAGCCGCCGCGGUAAUUC
rnacentral:rRNA from 1 species